rnacentral:rRNA from 1 species
GAUGAACGCUGGCGGCGUGCCUAAUACAUGCAAGUCGAGCGAACGGACGAGAAGCUUGCUUUUCUGAUGUUAGCGGCGGACGGGUGAGUAACACGUGGAUAACCUACCUAUAAGACUGGGAUAACUUCGGGAAACCGGAGCUAAUACCGGAUAAUAUUUUGAACCGCAUGGUUCAAAAGUGAAAGACGGUCUUGCUGUCACUUAUAGAUGGAUCCGCGCUGCAUUAGCUAGUUGGUAAGGUAACGGCUUACCGAGGCAACGAUGCAUAGCCGACCUGAGGGGGUGAUCGGCCACACUGGAACUGAGACACGGUCCAGACUCCUACGGGAGGCAGCAGUAGGGAAUCUUCCGCAAUGGGCGAAAGCCUGACGGAGCAACGCCGCGUGAGUGAUGAAGGUCUUCGGAUCGUAAAACUCUGUUAUUAGGGAAGAACAUAUGUGUAAGUAACUGUGCACAUCUUGACGGUACCUAAUCAGAAAGCCACGGCUAACUACGUG